UACGUAGGUGGCAAGCGUUGUCCGGAUUUACUGGGCGUAAAGAGCGCGCAGGCGGUCGUUCAAGUCGCGUGUGAAAGCCCCCGGCUCAACUGGGGAGGGUCAUUCGAUACUGAUCGACUCGAAGGCAGGAGAGGGUAGUGGAAUUCCCGGUGUAGUGGUGAAAUGCGUAGAUAUCGGGAGGAACACCAGUGGCGAAGGCGACUACCUGGCCUGUUCUUGACGCUGAGGCGCGAAAAGCUAGGGGAGCAAACGGGG
rnacentral:rRNA from 1 species